GCCGAGGUGGCGGAAUUGGCAGACGCAGUGGAUUCAAAAUCCACCGAUGUAACAGUCGUGGGGGUUCGAGUCCCUUCCUCGGCACCA
rnacentral:tRNA from 1 species